rnacentral:lncRNA from 1 species
CUUUUCCUCCCCCCGCCCGGCUCCCGGCUUAGAAACCCCCAGCUCUCCUCCCUGUCACCCGAGCCUUCCCGGGCCGGGGGGGGGGCCGGGACGCACCCACGCCCUCCUCGGAGUGAGGCCGCCGAGGAGACGGCGGACGGGAGUUUCGCGGCACGAGCCCCCCCACUGCCGAGUCGGUUGGCCCUGGAGGCGGCCAGAGCUGGGGUCUAGGCGCCGGGGGGGCAGAGCCAUGGCCCUGGGCGGCGGCCUGCAGCCCGGACGGCGCGCUGGCGGCGAUCGCCGGCGGUCCGGCGGCCCUGCGGAGGAGGUGCCCGGCCGGGGCGCCCGAGCCCUGGAGCGCAGCCCCCUCCCCGGCCCGCUCUCUCUGGCCGCCUCGAUGGCGCCCCCGGCCCGUCUCCGCCUCCCGCCGCCGGCCCAGGACCCCUUCCUGCCUACCCUGGCCGGCUCCCCGGCUUCGGCCACUGCCCCGUCGGCGGCGCACGUCUGGGAGCUGGGAGCCGCCCGGCUGCUGCAGCGCUCCGACUCCCGAGCGUCGCCCCGCCGCGCCCCGCCGCCCCGCAGCCCCCAGGCCAGGCAGGCCCGAGCGGCCGCCGCCCCGCGAGCCAAGCUGUCCCUGCUGCUGCUGCGACCAUCCCCCGCCGCUCAGCCCGCCCUGGGGGGGGGGCCCCUGGCCAACAGCCUCCGAGAGGGGACAACCGGGGCCGGCUACUACAGCGAGAAGCGCAUCGCGGAGUGGAUCAAUCAGGUGAACCGCAGCCUCUUCGCUCCCUCGGGGGUCCUGGACCCUCCGGAACAGGACAAGUCCAUCGGAACGGCGCACGAGGACCCCGGGAGCCUCCCACUGCCCAGCCCUGGGGUCCGAGAAUGUCUGAGCCAGAAGGGGAGGAGCGCCACCCCCUCGUUCGACAGAAGGGGAAACUGAGGCCCAGAGAGAGACCAAGCUCGCCCGGCUCCUUGGUGGCAUUCGGGACACAAGCCACGGAUCCUUCCACUUCCCAUCUAACUUGGCCCCUCCUUCAUCCCAGGGGGAGCUCUGCUAGCGAAGCAGCCCUUCUCUGACCUGCUAGGAUGCUCCAAGUCCUUCUAGUUGUCCCCGAGGCUGUGGCUUCCUCCAUCUCCCUGGGACUGGAAAGAUGCCCUCAGGAACCCAGCCUUAAUCCCUGGGCUGGAGUACCUGCAGACCCCAGGACGGCUGUUCUGUCUGGGAGGCGGAGGAACUUGGAUCCCAUCGAGCACCUCGCCUUCUCCCUCACUCCCGAUCGACAGAAAUUAUCGAUAUCUAAAGACCCGGUAUAAGACUGAUUCCUCCUCUUCAGAUCCCUGAAGUCCUCAUACUGACCUGUCUCUUCUCCAGACUCCUCAAGGGCGAGAUCUCCUAAUUUUGGGCAAUGAGGAAACUGAGGCAAACAAGAUGAAGGUUCCUUGCCCAGAGUCAUACAGCCAGUAGCGAGUGUCUGAGGCUGCAUUUGGACUCGGGAAGAUGAGGCUUCCUGACUUCAAGCCCCGAACUAUCCACUGCGGCACUUUCUGCUGCCCAUCUAGAGGGGACCAGAGGCUUAAGAUAGUACUUCCAAUGUGAAAUGGAAUCAGACACGAACACAGAAUGAGUCUAGGCUCCAUUUCUUUAACAUCUGCGGAGGUUUCCCCAGCAUGCAGAUUUUAUGGAGAAAAAGGAAGGAACAAGGAAAUAAUAACAGCUAACAUUUAGAUACUGUGUAUCAGGCACGGUACUAAGCACUUUACCAUUAUCUUAUUUGAUCCUCCUGAACAUCAUCUGAUGGGUACUGUUACCAUCCUGAUUUUGACCUGAUUACAAAGUUAAGUGACUUACCCAAGAUCACACAGCUAAUAAGUGUCUCAAACUGAAUUUGAACACAGCUCUUCUGACUCUCCAAACCUGGUACAGUAUGCAAUACUCCCUAAUCUAACUCUCUUGACUAAUGAUUUGGGGGAAAGAGAAGAGGUUCCUUGUAUGCAUUUUGAAAGAAGGAAAAGGAAUAAAGGAGGGAAGCAAAAGCUGGGAAGAGUAAUAAUACCUUGUUUUGGCUCUGCCUCUUGCAUCUUGAGCAAGAACUUUCAGAGGUGAGCUUUACUAAGGAAUUAUGAUGAUCAAGUACCAGUUCCUACUCCAUGACCCUCAAGGGAGACCACAAUCCCCAAGGGGAAGGGGGAAAGCUCUAGCCAAGAAGAUGAAAUCCUUGCACCUUAAAGUCACCUCCAAAUUGGCUUAUUUUUCAUUGGGCUUGGCCAUUUACGCUUCCUUGUCCAAUGUUCAUAGGAUCAUAACUCUAGAACCAUAAGGGGACUCCAGGGACUAUUUUUGUGGCCCAGACAGGUAAAGGUAGUCACCAAAGGUCAGAGGCAGGAUUUGAACCCACGACCUCCAACUCCAGAGCCAUCCUAUACUCAUCCAGAGCAUCCAAUGCUCAGCGUCAUGUACAAUGCUAUUUCUCCAGGGAUAUCAACCGGAAUAAAAUAAAAAUUAUUCUUUCUCG